rnacentral:tRNA from 1 species
AUCGACGACUCAGCUGCACCAUAAGCACCCACACGAAUUGCUUGAUUCAUUGAAGAAGACGAUUAGAAGCAGCGCCCGAGUUCGGGUCUGUAGCUCAGUUGGUUAGAGCGCACCCCUGAUAAGGGUGAGGUCGGCAGUUCGAAUCUGCCCAGACCCACCAGUUUACUGGUGAGAUAGCUGGUCAGAGUAGACGCCUCCACGGUAUGUAGAAAUACGGGGCCAUAGCUCAGCUGGGAGAGCGCCUGCCUUGCACGCAGGAGGUCAGCGGUUCGAUCCCGCUUGGCUCCACCACUUACUGCUUCUGUUUGAAAGCUUAGAAAUGAGCAUUCCACCCUGCAAAACAAAGGGUGUGUGAAUGUUGAUUUCUAGUCUUUGAUUAGAUCGUUCUUUAAAAAUUUGGGUAUGUGAUAGAAAGAAAUAUAGACCGGGCACCUCUUUCACUGGUGUGUGUCCGGGCUAAGGUAAAGUUUGUGAAUGCAAACUUUCGGCGAAUGUCGUCUUCACAGUAUAACCAGAUUGCUUGGGGUUAUAU